rnacentral:rRNA from 1 species
CCUACGGGCGGCAGCAGUGAGGAAUAUUGGUCAAUGGGCGCUAGCCUGAACCAGCCAAGUAGCGUGAAGGAUGACUGCCCUAUGGGUUGUAAACUUCUUUUAUAUGGGAAUAAAGUGCAGUAUGUAUACUGCUUUGCAUGUACCUUAUGAAUAAGGAUCGGCUAACUCCGUGCCAGCAGCCGCGGUAAUACGGAGGGUCCGAGCGUUAUCCGGAUUUAUUGGGUUUAAAGGGAGCGUAGGCGGGUUGUUAAGUCAGUUGUGAAAGUCUGCGGCUCAACCGUAAAAUUGCAGUUGAUACUGGCAGCCUUGAGUACAGUAGAGGUAGGCGGAAUUCGUGGUGUAGCGGUGAAAUGCUUAGAUAUCACGAAGAACUCCGAUUGCGAAGGCAGCCUGCUGGACUGUAACUGACGCUGAGGCUCGAAAGUGUGGGUAUCAAACAGGAUUAGAUACCCUAGUAGUC